rnacentral:rRNA from 1 species
UACGUAGGGUGCGAGCGUUGUCCGGAAUUACUGGGCGUAAAGAGCUCGUAGGUGGUUUGUCGCGUUGUUCGUGAAAACUCACAACUCAAUUGUGGGCGUGCGGGCGAUACGGGCAGACUGGAGUACUGCAGGGGAGACUGGAAUUCCUGGUGUAGCGGUGGAAUGCGCAGAUAUCAGGAGGAACACCGGUGGCGAAGGCGGGUCUCUGGGCAGUGAACUGACGCUGGAGGAGCGAAAGCGUGGGGAGCGAACAGG